CCCCACCCCACCCCCUCUCUUAUGCAUUCCCAGACAUUCUCUAGAUGGUUGACUAAGUGGUCUUAAUGGUUCCAUAGCCUUAGAAAAGAAAUGUGAGGGAAGUGUAAAAGAGGUGUUUAAAUAGGCUUCAUAUGCUUGAAUUUUAAUGUUUUAUUGUAUAUUUAUUUUUUCCCAAGUGAGCAGGGACACCUUAAUUAGAGGCGCGACACCCUCAUAUAGGCUCUACUAGAGAGAGGGUAACUGAACUCAUUAGGAGUCAAAACCAGUACAAACAGCAUGGACUGGCACGAAUUGGCACCCGCCUAUGAGUGAACUAGGGCUCUAAGCUACUGCAUCAUCCACAGUCCUGCAUAAGCUGAGAAAAGCAGCCGAUUCUACAAAUGGAUUGAUUUAAUUAUACAUAUUUCUGGGAGAGAGUUUUAAGAUCCUUAACCACUAUCCAGUAUACCUACCACCAUACCAGUAGAUCAAGAAGCCACCUAUGACCUAUUACGUAUCUCUAAAAAAUAUCAAAUCCGAAAGUUUUAAGUUUAUAGGAAUACUUCAUUUCUUUGCCCCCCAAAUGGUCAACUUGCGAUUGUAUAGGCCACUAAGAAUCCUGUGACCUUAAUUUAGAAAAAUAAUGAUUUUUUUUGCUAAAUGGAAAAUAAUGAAUAUUUCAGUGACUGGAUACUAGUUGUAUGUUGAUUAUUAAAAAAUGCAUUUAAGACAGCAUUCAAUUACUGUCAUAUCAUUUCAUGAGAGUACCAAACUACUCUUUACCACUGUAUGAAUAAAUUGAUUAACAUAUAAAGAUCCUACAAAACCUAAACUUGUUUCAUCUUAAGCUUAUAGGAAUAUAUUAAAUUCAAUAAAUUACAGUAUUUGAUUUCUUUAAGUAUUACUUUUGAUCAUCUCCGACCCUAGUCUCUCGUUGACAUCCUCAAUGAACAUGCUUUUACUUCGAGCUGGAGGAAUACAUAGACUUGAGAUAGAAAG
rnacentral:lncRNA from 1 species